GCUGUGAUGGCUGAGUGGUUAAGGUGCUGGAUUAGAAGCCCAAUAGAGUUUCCCUGCCUAGGUUCAAAUCCUGCUCACAGCA
rnacentral:tRNA from 1 species